rnacentral:lncRNA from 1 species
CUAGGAGAACCGAAAACAGUUCUAGACAGACCUGCGGUUUUAUGGCAGUUUUGGCAGUCAACUUCAGCUGUGUCUGAGCAGUGGGGCCGCAGUGGCCCGCUGCUGGGGGGAUGCUAGGCGGUCUCUGCUAGUUGCCCUGGCUGCUCCUUUCUUAGCUAGAUCGAUUUCCCCUGGUGCCAGAAAGAAGGGGAUCACCGCAGAAAGG